rnacentral:lncRNA from 1 species
UUUUUAGGCUUAGAAAAUCCUUUGCAUUGCCAAAAUCAGAUUAAAGUUUACGUAUAUUUUCUUCCAGUUUUUUAUGGAUUAUUUCAUAUCAUAUAUAUUGUUUACAUGUAUUUUUAAAAUUAAUUUGGAAUUAAUUUUUGUUUAUGGUCGGAUCUAUUAUACAUCAGCUUUUCCCAAAUAACUAAACCCUCAUCCCAAGGCUAUUAGGUGCGUAAAAAGAUGCUCAGCAUCACUGGUAAUUAGGGAAAUGCAAACUAAAACCAUGAUGUGAUGCCACUAUACACCAAU